rnacentral:rRNA from 1 species
GAUGAACGCUGGCGGCGUGCCUAAUACAUGCAAGUCGAGCGAACGGACGAGAAGCUUGCUUCUCUGAUGUUAGCGGCGGACGGGUGAGUAACACGUGGAUAACCUACCUAUAAGACUGGGAUAACUUCGGGAAACCGGAGCUAAUACCGGAUAAGAUUUUGAACCGCAUGGUUCAAAAGUGAAAGACGGUCUUGCUGUCACUUAUAGAUGGAUCCGCGCUGCAUUGGCUAGUUGGUAAGGUAACGGCUUACCAAGGCAACGAUGCAUAGCCGACCUGAGAGGCUGAUCGGCCACACUGGAACUGAGACACGGUCCAGACUCCUACGGGAGGCAGCAGUAGGGAAUCUUCCGCAGUGGGCGAAAGCCUGACGGAGCAACGCCGCGUGAGUGAUGAAGGUCUUCGGAUCGUAAAACUCUGUUAUUAGGGAAGAACAUAUGUGUAAGUAACUGUGCACAUCUUGACGGUACCUAAUCAGAAAGCCACGGCUAACUACGUG